AGUGAACGCUGGCGGCGUGCCUAAUACAUGCAAGUCGAACGGAGUGCCGCACGGGUGAGUAAUGUAUAGCUAAUCUGCCCUACACUAGUGGACAACAGUUGGCAACGACUGCUAAUACUCUAUAGUGUAGGAUGAGGCUAUAUUGUAUCAGCUAGUUGGUGAGGUAAUGGCUCACCAAGGCUAUGACGCAUAACUGGUCUGAGAGGAUGAUCAGUCACACUGGAACGGAGACACGGGAGAGACUGCUACGGGAGGCAGCAGUAGGGAAGAGUGCUCAAUGGGAGAAACCCUGAAGCAGCAAGGCCUCGGGGAGGAUGACACUUUGCGGAGCAUAAACUCGUGUUGUUAGGGAAGAGGUACCUAACGAAUAAGCACCGGCUAACUCCGUGCCAGCAGCCGCGGUAAUAC
rnacentral:rRNA from 1 species